rnacentral:rRNA from 1 species
GUGGGGAAUUUUGGACAAUGGGCGCAAGCCUGAUCCAGCAAUGCCGCGUGAAGGAAGAAGGCCCUCGGGUUGUAAACUUCUUUUAAGAGGGACGAAAGAAAUGACGGUACCUCUUGAAUAAGCCACGGCUAACUACGUGCCAGCAGCCGCGGUAAUACGUAGGUGGCGAGCGUUAUCCGGAUUUACUGGGUGUAAAGGGCGUGUAGGCGGGAGUGCAAGUCAGAUGUGAAAAUUAUGGGCUCAACCCAUAACCUGCAUUUGAAACUGUUCUUCUUGAGUGAUGGAGAGGCAGGCGGAAUUCCGUGUGUAGCGGUGAAAUGCGUAGAUAUACGGAGGAACACCAGUGGCGAAGGCGGCCUGCUGGACAGGUACUGACGCUGAGGCGCGAAAGCGUGGGGAGCAAACAGGAUUAGAUACCCCGGUAGUCC